AAAAACGAGAUAUAUGUUUAAGGUGUAAUUUGAGAUGAGGUUGUCCUGCUCAAUUAAUUCCAUUUAGAAUACAUUGUGUUUGGUAUAGAAAAGCAAAAGGAGUGUUUUGGCUGAUGUGACGUGUUAAGUGUUACCUAUGCCACUAGCCUUUCCAUGAGCUUUUCGCUUUACUUUUUCUUGUACUGGAAUAAAUAUACAUUUCAAAUGUUCUGAUUUUCAGAAUGGGAGCAAGUAGAAAUACCAGAUUUGAUGCUUAUGCUUCAGAGUUUUCCACAUUGCGCGAGAGCUAGACGUACUUUUCGACGACCUCGCCGUCCCCAACCUGUCCGCAGUUAUUGCAACUCCCCAUCUGUUCUCCAUUACCUUGUAAUUUUUUUAUCAUGAGAUGAAUCAUCAAUAUUGUACCUUUGUUAAUCUUCGCAAUUUUCUAUGCUGUUUUUGGUUAUACAUUUAGAUUAUUCCGAAUUUCCUGAAGGUGGUGGUGGGGGUUGUACGGCUUGUUCCAUCUGGUUUCAGGAGUGUGUGCUGCUCCUAUAAUUUUUUCUCACGUUGUCUCUCUUCUUGUUGUUGCCACCUUAGUUCUUGUGAUUUGCUUUUCAAUUGCUAAUUGUUUGAGCCAUAGUAGUUAGUGUACAAUCUAUAUUUGCCUCCCAUGGCUCCUGAUUAGCGAGCUGGAGAUGCUUGGUUGGAGUGGUCGUGGUUAGUGAUGCAUGUGUCCUGGUUGGGGAGUUGACCAUGCUUAAUUUGAGUUCAAAGAUUAGCGUGUAGUCCUUCCACACCUUCUAAUUAGAUAGUUUGGCUUGAUUAGGAGAUGCUUACAAUCUCCUGUCAUAGAACUUUAUAACAGCUUUUCAUGGAAAUGAUUUUGCUAUAUCAUCUAUGAAUGUUUUUGGUCACUUACAAUCUACCGUGAUAGAAUUUUAUAAUUGUUUGUUCAAAUGCGCCCCAGAGGGUGAGAUACAUUUCGAGAUCCUAAUCUAGCUAAUUUAACCAUGCGAAAUAUAUUGUUUACUCUGUCUUGUAGAUGUAGAGCCGAACUUACUAAAAUAGGGGAUGUUGUUAUUUAUUCUUAUUUAUGCUAUAAUGUGGGCCAAAGAGAAACUAUGAUAAAUUUGUUUUUCUGGAUAAAGCUCAUGCUAAUAUAUGUUUUGCCUUUUCAUUUCUUUCUUUCACACCAGAUCAGUUUAAUUAUCCCCUAAUGCCCUGUAGCCCAAUUCUGCCUUCCGCGAGCUAAGGUUGCAGGAGUGAAGCAGAAGUUGUAGCCACAACGGCCGCAGCCAUCGGUGGAGGUCGAGCUCGGGCAGGGUGAUCUCAUUAGCCAGCUCCACCAGGACAAGAAAGAAGCUGCAAGUUUCAAAUUUCUACUAAUCAGACUCCAUCAGCAGGGCGUUAAACUGACAAGUGUUCAGACGGUUGCGAAAUUGUUUGAAUGGUUUUAUGUUUGCCGUUUGUUUAUCUGUUCACAUCGUGGCAAUCGCCAAGGAUUGAAAUGUUAUGUUUAA